rnacentral:rRNA from 1 species
CACGUAGGGGGCGAGCGUUGUCCGGAUUUAUUGGGCGUAAAGAGCUCGUAGGCGGUUUGUCGCGUCUGCCGUGAAAGUCCGGGGCUCAACUCCGGAUCUGCGGUGGGUACGGGCAGACUAGAGUGAUGUAGGGGAGACUGGAAUUCCUGGUGUAGCGGUGAAAUGCGCAGAUAUCAGGAGGAACACCGAUGGCGAAGGCAGGUCUCUGGGCCACUACUGACGCUGAGAAGCGAAAGCAUGGGGAGCGAACAGG